GCGGUCCCCGAUGCCGAGGCGGUGCCCGAGGCGGUUCCCGAUGCAAUGUCCGAUGCCGUUCCUGAGGCCAUUCCCGAGGCGGUGCCCGAUGCCGAGGUCGUUCCCGAGGCGGUGCCCGAGGCCGUUCCCGAGGCGGAGCCCGAGGUCGUGCCCGAGGCCGUUCCCGAGGCGGUGUCCUUGUCCAAUGCCGUUCCUGAGGCCAUUCCUGAGACCGUUCCCGAGGCGGUGCCCGAUGCCGAGGUCGUUCCCGAGGCGGUGUCCUUGUCCGAUGCCGUUCCUGAGGCCGUUCCUGAGACCAUUCCCGAGGCGGUGCCCGAUGCCGAGGCCGUUCCCGAGGCGGGGUCCUUGUCCAAUGCCGUUCCUGAGGCCAUUCCUGAGGCCGUUCCUGAUGCUGUUCCGGAGGCCGAUGCGGGGCCCGAGAUGGUUCUGGAGGCGAUACCCGUGUCCAAGGCCGUUCCCGAGGCGGUGCCCUUGUCUGAGGCCGUUCCCGAUGCCGUUCCCAAUGCCGUGACCUGGCCAUCGCCACAGCCUGCUCCUUACUGGCUCCCCGAUUGGCAGGUUCCGUUCGGGCCACUCAAAUGGCGAAUUCCUCCCUGGCCGUCUGCACAACGAGAAUGGACUGAUCCACCGUGGCCACCUGAACUGCCUGGCCCCUCGUGGUCCCCCUGAACUUUCGGGUCCACCGUGGCCACCUGAACUGCCUGGUCCCUCGUGGUCCCCUGAACUUUCGGGUCCACCAUGGCCCCCUGAUCUGACCGAGCCACCUGGGCUACCAGGGGAGCCA
ensembl:lncRNA